rnacentral:rRNA from 1 species
ACUACUAUGUGUGAAUCAUCGAAUCUUUGAACGCACUUUGCACUGUCCGGAAUCCCGGGACAGUAUAUCUGUUUGAGUAUUGUUUCUAAAUUAACCAGUAAAAAUGUAGAAAUACAUUCAGCUGAGUAACCUUGGGGUUUCAUGUACGGAAAUGACAUGUGCCUUUAAACCUUUUAACGUUCUCCAAGAGUAGUCCGUAAGGUCCCUCUAGAUGUAACGUAAAAUUUUAAUAAGCAGAAUAGUUACAUAUUCUCCUUGAACUUACAAUCUCAAAUCAGAUAAGAUUACCCGCUGAACUUAAGCAUAUCAAUAAGCGGAGG